CACAUAUUAUAUUAUGUCAUAGUAACAAUGAAUGAUAUUAUUCUAAAUAGUAGGUAUAUCUACUGAACAAAAUUAAUAUAAAUAAUUGUACAAUAUUCGUCUAAAAUAUUUUCUAAAAAUAAUAAUUUAUUAAUAUUAUAUAAUAACAUAUUACCAUAGAUACUGCACGAUUUGUUAGGUUUUACAAUUAUUAUAAUAUAAACGAUAGACACUUCCGAAUAGUUUAAACUGUCCAUAGUUUAGAAUCUAAACACUAAUAAUUCAAUGGUUGCUUCAAGCUUUAAAUGACCUAUUGAAGUAUCGAAUUUUUCAUCGGAAUAUUUUUUUCUGUGGCCGAAUACAUUUAUUCGGAAAAACUAUUCGAACAGUUUUUCCUAUACAAACGAAUGAAAACUAGUCGUAUAGUUAAAGUAUAGGAAUAAUAUUCAGUCCACCAAAUAGUUCGAAUGCGAUCAUCAACUAUCAAAUGGUUCGAUUGUCUAACUAUUUGUAUGUGCCCACCGCUCAUAAUAAUAUACAGUGCAUGUCCAAAGAUAUUUACAACUUUAAUUUAAAAUUAUUCCUGUUUGAUUAAUUCAUAUUCGUCGACACUUUAAUUUUACACCAUAAUAAUUGUGUAUAAUCGUAUAUAAUUGUACUUCAAAAUAUAUAAAUGUAAAUACUUCAUUCGGGAGCACCCUAUAAAACAAUGCCUAUGAAUUUUCGCCAUAGUUGCUCAGGAGAGUGUUUUAGUCAUUGACACUAAUAGUGAAAGGAGGUGGGUAGGGAAGUGUGAUUAGUCCUCCUCUCCCAAUUCAAGAUCUAAUUAAGUAUGUGCUAAGUAUAAAAAAUUUAAUCAAUAUUACACGAGAGACUUAAUAAUAUGGAUGGUAUCAGAUUAAAUCUUAGGGCUAAAGACAUAAAAUGAAAACCGAUUACAUCUUGGGACGUUUGAGAAUGCGAAUAAUUACGAUAAAACAAAACAAAAUAAAAAAAAUAGUACAUUUUUAUCGGGAGCCUACGAUUCACUUAGAUUAACGGUUGAGAUCUAAAUUCAACUGUAGGUACCGGUGUAGUCGUUUAUCGUAAGAGGGCAGCCUCAUCUUUUUUCGAAUCAUUCUAUCGCCGCGCAAUAACUAGCAGUUUCUCAAAUAUUUGCGCAAAUUCAACAAUAUCAACCAUACAAGUAUCAUAUCAGUACUUGGCUGGAAUACGAAACAUCAUAAUCUUCCGAAAACUAUUGUUGAUAUUUUGAUUUAGUAAUUUUGAUCAGUAUCUGUGAUACUGAUAGUUUAGAAUCCAGAAGAAAAAGAUUAAUUUUUGAAAAUUGUUUUAUUAUAUCCUCAUUAUGACUAUGAUAAUUCUAUGACCGUUUCAGCUUGACGUACUUGUAUUAUAAUAAUCAAAAUUUUAACAUAAUUUUUACUUAUAAUUAUAAAGUACGAACAAUUUUUUUAUAAACAGAAAUCUAAAACACCAAAACCGACUCGUGGGGUUGGGACUCGCGAUGUUGCUGGUGUGUGAUAAACGCUAUCGGAUGUCGCAAUAAAUAUUACAUACUUAUUUUGGUACCCACAAUAAACUACUUCCAGAGUGCAGACGUUUCGAAUUUAGAUCCCAACGUGUAAAUAAUGAUUUAUUUCGUGCAAUAUUAGCCACCAUAAUAUCAUUAAUGUUAUACAAUAUGAUAUAAUUUUAUUAAAAUAUAAUUUUUACAUAAGCCGAUUGUACACGCGCGUAAUAAUAUUAUAAUUCUAGUAUAGUUAAUAAUAUAUUCUUUAAUGUUUAAAUCCUUAACGAUAAAAUGCUAAUCCGUGUGUGCGUUUUACACAGUUACGUUAUAAUAGUAUUCAAGUUUAAACCUAUGAUAUUAUGUUGCAGUUUAUUCCACGAGACCGUGUACACAACGUAUCAUUAUAUCGUGACACGGCCGUUAUUACAUACAUAAUACUUUAUAAUAUUCGUAUUAUAUCAAAUAUUACGCAUAAGUAGGUAUCACAUUAUGGGUACGCGUGAAAUAGUAUUCGUUUAUUUGGCCGUCAUUACACUCGCGCGUAUAUUUGCAAUGCAAUUACAAUAUAAUCUUUAAACACUCGAUAUAAAGCGUUUCGAACGCCAUUCAAAUAACAAUAAUUAAAAAAAAAAAAAAAAAAAAAAAAACAAACCCGAUACGAUAGCAUUGCCAUUAGGUAUCUACCUGUUUUAUAAUAAUUUAUACUAUUUCAAUCACGCAGUAUAGCGUCUACAACAGCCAGAUAAUACAAUUCAUAUUGUAUUCUAAAAUAUUGUACACAAAUUAUAAAUUUCUCAAAAUAAUGAAUUAUUAUUAUUUUUAAUCAAAUUACACUGUCGGUUUUAAUUAUUUCAACUCUCUACCGCCACCACAAGCAUUGGUUACAGGAGGUAUAGAUAUUAUUGUAAAUCAUCUAUUUGUCUGAUGUACGAUUUAAUAAUAAACAAAUAAAUAAAAAAAAAAAAAAUGUAUAUAUAUAUAUGUUUGUAUGUUAUACAUAAUACAUACAGAGUGAUUAUUUUAUCACGGACGAUUUUUAGUAAAUUUGAUUUUCUUUUUAACACCUACCUCUUAUCGUACCUUAAAUGAGAAUUGACUUUUGAUUCUCGAAUGGCAACCCCCUUCCCCAUUGUCAACAUGGAUUAGAAAACAUGAUUUUUUCCAGAAAUGUCGGCAUGCAUAACACUUAUACUGAAUGUAUUUACCGUUUUUGAGCUGUAAGUGCGACCGAAGAUGGUAUAAUAUGGAUACUCAAUGGACUAUGAAGAAAAUGACCGCUAAAGUGAAUCUGCUCUUAUCGCCGCCCUGGGCAUAUUUUCACUAGUAUAUAGUUUUGUUACUUUAUACAAAAUUAGUGUAUGCGACACUACGUAUAACAUAUUAUAUUGUAAACGUGUAUUAAAAACCUUGUUCUACGGCGUAAAUUGAAUUUUAAAUUUCCCAUACUAGUGUUGUUUCACCAUUUUCAACGCCCGUGUCCAGCUGAUCCGGAAGAGUCGUUUUGACGGCCACGUCGACAGCAGAUUUAUCAUUAUUCGUUGGGCGUUUAUCAUAAUAUACUAUCUUAUAAUUCGCAGUAAGUAACUAACGUAAUAAAUAAUAAGUGACAAUUUUAAUCUUAGACCGGGAUUGUAUAGGGAAUAGCGGUUAUAAACUGAUCACUCUGUAUAUCUAUAUAUAAAUGAAUACAGCGUUCUUAUAUUAUUAAUACCGUUUCCAUACUUAUUAAUGUCGUGUUACAAUAUCGCGAUAAAAUCUUUAAUAUUUUAGAAUAUUUGAUAGAAAACCAGCUUGAUUCGUACAAUAGUAUUUGCGAUUCGUUCGCGUCGAAUAACUCGAACAUGGAAAUAAUAAAGUCCGAAAGAGGUAGAGAGUCAAUAAAUUCUCCUAAGUAAUUUUAAAUACUUUUUUGUCAGAAAACAUAAAAAUGGGAACAUUAAUUGAUGGCUCUGUAUAGACAAAAAUAAAUUGCGAUGCAAGUAUUAUAACAACUACAGUGAAAGUAGGUAUUACGUUUUUAACUAAUAGAUAAGUCCCCUCUACGUUUUGGGUUUGUUUAUUUUUACAACUAGAUACUAAUGAAAUAUAAGUGUAGUUCACGUAGUCUUGCUUGACUCGAUAGAUAGAAAAAUAUACAAUAUCUAAACUUGGCAACGUUGCCUAAUAAAACGCUAUCAAUCGUUUUAAAACGAUAAAAAAAGGAAAAAAAAAAUCCUUGAUAAGUGACAUUUGUUCGCAAUCGUGUUACAUCCAAUUCUUGCGUAUGCGACAGACAAUGAGAGAAAAUAUCAGUAAGAUCAAGUUCCCUUAUAAUUAAUAAUUAAUUAUUAUUAUUAAUCAUAUUCGUACAGUCUUAGUAAAUCGGAAAGUUCAGCGAGUUAACGGUUAAUGUAAACUCUGUAAAUUAUAGUUAAGUUCAUCGAAAAAAAAAGACAAAGACUUAUCAUGUUUA